CCCAUCCAGCACUAACAGCUGAGAAAUCUCUGUGUGAGCGACAUCUGGGGGACUGGAGGACACAUUGCAUACUGCAAAACUGAAAGGAAAAGUAGUCUGACACAAUCAGGUGGAGCUCAGCAGGUUUCAUGUGUUUACCAGGCAGAAAUAAAUGCAUGUAAAUGGCAUAGACACGUACAGUAUUGUUCAGUAUAUUUUAAGUCAUAGCUGAAGGGACUUCCGGUCAUUAUGUAUACCACGGACUACAAUAUCCAGAACAUUGUUAAUUACUUGUUUGACAACAUCCCGUUGACGAACGCAUGGGAUGACGUCACUUCCUGCCGAUGGGACUUCCGGUCUUACGGGAGCAAUGGACUAUGUUACCCAUGAAAUCUGAUGACAACAUCCUGUUACUAAGUCCACCAGAUGACAUCACAUCCGGCGGGACCGCCCGGGAGACGGACUACAUUUCCCAUGAUCACUUUGGAAACGGGGACUUCCAGCUAGCGUUAUUUAUAUGAAAUUGUGCUCUGUUUUCUUUUCUUACUAUUGUGACUAAAGUAUGAUGUUAUUUUAUGUUUUAGUAAUAUAGUAAUAUAUACUUUACACUACGACUAAGUAUUGGAAAAAAUCUGACCCUGAAUCCAAAUAAGUGUGUGAGGUCAUUUCCUGCCUCACAUCAACUGGUCAGUGGCAGUAUAAAUAUCAAGCUACUACACACUCCAUUAUGUCUUGAUAAAGGUUAUUCACCGAAACGCGUUGACACAGGAGUGUGAGUAGCUUCAUACUAUCCAGCUGAUCCAUUUCUAAUCCUUUUUUUUAUCUUUUUAAAAUUUGCAUGUGUUUUUUAUGUUGGUUCCAUUUUUUACCUUG